rnacentral:rRNA from 1 species
AGCGAACGCUGGCGGCAGGCCUAACACAUGCAAGUCGAACGAACUCUUCGGAGUUAUUGGCGGUCGGGUGAGUAACACGUGGGAACGUGCCUUUUGGUUCGGAAUAACUCAGGGAAACUUGUGCUAAUACCGAAUGUGCCCUUCGGGGGUAAGAUUUAUUGCUAUUAGAGCGGCGCGCGUCUGAUUAGCUAGUUGGUGAUGUAACGGCUAACCAAUGCCACGAUCAGUAGCUGGUCUGUGAGGAUGACAAACCGCACUGGGGAUGCGGCACGGACCAGUACCGUACGGAAGGGAGGAGUAGAGUAUAUUACGGACUGAAGGAUAGUGUGACGCAGCCAUGCCGGGGGAAUGAUGAAGGUCUUAGGAAUGUGAAAUUCUUUGAGCGGGGGCGAUAAUGACGGUAACCGGAGAAGAAGCCCCGGCUAACUUCGUG